GGGGGGGGGGGGGGGGGGGGGGGGGGGGGGGGGGGGGGGGGGGGGGGGGGGGCUUGCUCCUGGAGUCAGCGGCGGACGGGUGAGGAAGGCCUAGGAAUCUGCCUGGUGGUGGGGGAGAACGUCCGGAAACGGGCGCUCAUACCGCAUACGUCCUGAGGGAGCAAGUGGGUGAGCUUCUGACCUCACGCUAUCAGAUCAGCCUAGGUCGGAUUAGCUAAUUGGUGGGUUAACGGCCUACCAAGGCGCCGAUCCGUAACUGGUCUGAGAGGCGGAUCAGUGACACGGGAACUGGGACAAGGUCAAGACUCCUACGGGAGGCAGCAGUGGGGAAUAUUGGACAAUGGGCGAAAGCCUGAUCCAGCCAUGCCGCGUGUGUGAAGAAGGUCUUCGGAUUGUAAAGCACUUUAAGUUGGGAGGAAGGGCAGUAAGUUAAUACCUUGCUGUUUUGACGUUACCAACAGAAUAAGCACCGGCUAACUUCGUG
rnacentral:rRNA from 1 species